rnacentral:lncRNA from 1 species
GUCUCAUCCUCUCAGGAAGUAGAGCAUCUCUAUUGCACUUAAGAAGCUGAGGCAAUAGAGCCCAAAAAUACUGAGACAGCACCAGUGAUCUGAAUCUUGAAAUUUUAUUCUCUGAUUUCUCUUCAGGGAGCGGCUCAGGAAGGAGAAGGCAGAGCCUGCCUCCAGCUGAACCCUUUGAGACUGCCCAGAUUCAACGUGUUACAAACAAACAUAUUCCACCUGUUACAACAAUCUGGCAUAUUACUUCCUUGAUACGUGAUGAUACAAUACCUCUCAGGUUUGCUGAGUAGCAAAGAGAAAUUGAGAGUACUGCUGGAACAGCAAUUUAACUUCCAGGAAAAUUCAGCAGAUCUUUUGAGACUUAAAGCAUGUGAGAAGUCAGGCACUGUCCAAAGACAGAUACCUUACUUGGAAAACGAUCUUCCUUCCUGAACAAAGAAUUCCAGGACAGAAAAGAGUACCACAGAAUAGCCCAUGUAGCUUAAAGAGCUGUCUUACAAGAAAUUACAGUUAGUUGCAUGUUCAUUUUGCAUUACCACAUAUUGUGUUGGUAUGCUUGUUGACAAAUCUCUAUAUGUGUAUUUGUUUGUAUAUUCAGAAGCUCUAGUUUGCCUGCAGUCAUUGUAUAGGUGGUUUUUCUCAUGAACAUUGUAGUUACAGGAAUAUAAUUUUAAGAGGAAGUUAUACUAAAAAGAAUUGUUUAUUUAGCUAGAUUAGGUAGGAACCAUCAAACAGGCCAUGGCACCUAUGUAUAUGGAAAAG